CCUUGUUAAUUGGUUUAAGUAAAACGUGAACUUUGUAAGUUUAAAUU
rnacentral:tRNA from 1 species